AGACCGAUAGCGAACAAGUAGAGUGAUCGAAAGAUGAAAAGCACUUUGGAAAGAGAGUUAAAAAGCACGUGAAAUUGUUGAAAGGGAAGCGCUUGCAGCCAGACUUGCCUGUAGUUGCUCAUCCGGGUUUCUACCCGGUGCACUCUUCUAUGGGCAGGCCAGCAUCAGUUUGGGCGGUUGGAUAAAGGUCUCUGUCAUGUACCUCUCUUCGGGGAGAACUUAUAGGGGAGACGUCAUGCAACCAGCCUGGACUGAGGUCCGCGCAUCUGCUAGGAUGCUGGCGUAAUGGCUGUAAGCGGCCCGUCUUGAAACACGGACCAAG
rnacentral:rRNA from 1 species